GGUCAGGUGGUGUAAUUGGUGACGCCCUUGCUAUUUAUGCAGAAGCCCUGGGUUCAAUUCACAGUCUGGCCA